CAAUAGCGUAUAUUAAAGUUGUUGCGGUUAAAAAGCUCGUAGUUGGAUUUCUGCCGAGGACGACCGGUCCGCCCUCUGGGUGUGUAUCUGGUUUGGCCUGGGCAUCUUCUUGGAGAACGUAGCUGCACUUGACUGUGUGGUGCGGUGUCCAGGACUUUUACUUUGAGGAAAUUAGAGUGUUUCAAGCAGGCACACGCCUUGAAUACAUUAGCAUGGAAUAAUAAGAUAGGACCUCGGUUCUAUUUUGUUGGUUUCUAGAGCUGAGGUAAUGAUUAAUAGGGAUAGUUGGGGGCAUUCGUAUUUAACUGUCGGAGGUGAAAUUCUUGGAUUUGUUAAAGACGGACUACUGCGAAAGCAUUUGCCAAGGGUGUUUUCAUUGA
rnacentral:rRNA from 1 species